AGUAACGGCGAGUGAAGCGGCAACAGCUCAAAUUUGAAAUCUGGCUCUUCUAGGGUCCGAGUUGUAAUUUGUAGAAGAUGCUUCGGGUGUGGCUCCGGUCUAAGUUCCUUGGAACAGGGCGUCAUAGAGGGUGAGAAUCCCGUAUGUGACUGGGUGCCUUCGCCUAUGUGAAGCUCUUUCGACGAGUCGAGUUGUUUGGGA
rnacentral:rRNA from 1 species